rnacentral:rRNA from 1 species
UACGUAGGGGGCAAGCGUUGUCCGGAAUCAUUGGGCGUAAAGCGCGUGUAGGCGGUCCGGUAAGUCCGCUGUGAAAGUCGGGGGCUCAACCCUGGGAUGCCGGUCGAUACUGCCGGACUAGAGUUCGGAAGAGGCGAGUGGAAUUCCCGGUGUAGCGGUGAAAUGCGCAGAUAUCGGGAGGAACACCAAUGGCGAAGGCAGCUCGCUGGGACGUUACUGACGCUGAGACGCGAAAGCGUGGGGAGCAAACAGG